rnacentral:rRNA from 1 species
AUUGAACGCUGGCGGCAUGCCUUACACAUGCAAGUCGAACGGUAACAGGUCUUUCGGGAUGCUGACGAGUGGCGAACGGGCGAGUAAUACAUCGGAACGUGCCUAGUCGUGGGGGAUAACUACUCGAAAGAGUGGCUAAUACCGCAUGCGAUCUAUGGAUGAAAGCAGGGGACCUUUGGGCCUUGUGCUACUAGAGCGGCCGAUGGCAGAUUAGGUAGUUGGUGGGAUAAAAGCUUACCAAGCCUACGAUCGGUAGCUGGUCUGAGAGGACGAUCAGCCACACUGGGACUGAGACACGGCCCAGACUCCUACGGGAGGCAGCAGUGGGGAAUUUUGGACAAUGGGCGCAAGCCUGAUCCAGCAAUGCCGCGUGCAGGAUGAAGGCCUUCGGGUUGUAAACUGCUUUUGUACGGAACGAAAAGUCUUGGGUUAAUACCCUGGGAUCAUGACGGUACCGUAAGAAUAAGCACCGGCUAACUACGUG